GGGUUGUGAGGUUAAGCGACUAAGCGUACACGGUGGAUGCCCUGGCAGUCAGAGGCGAUGAAGGACGUGCUAAUCUGCGAUAAGCGUCGGUAAGGUGAUAUGAACCGUUAUAACCGGCGAUUUCCGAAUGGGGAAACCCAGUGUGUUUCGACACACUAUCAUUAACUGAAUCCAUAGGUUAAUGAGGCGAACCGGGGGAACUGAAACAUCUAAGUACCCCGAGGAAAAGAAAUCAACCGAGAUUCCCCCAGUAGCGGCGAGCGAACGGGGAGCAGCCCAGAGCCUGAAUCAGUGUGUGUGUUAGUGGAAGCGUCUGGAAAGGCGCGCGAUACAGGGUGACAGCCCCGUACACAAAAAUGCACAUAUUGUGAGCUCGAUGAGUAGGGCGGGACACGUGGUAUCCUGUCUGAAUAUGGGGGGACCAUCCUCCAAGGCUAAAUACUCCUGACUGACCGAUAGUGAACCAGUACCGUGAGGGAAAGGCGAAAAGAACCCCGGCGAGGGGAGUGAAAAAGAACCUGAAACCGUGUACGUACAAGCAGUGGGAGCCUCUUUUAUGGGGUGACUGCGUACCUUUUGUAUAAUGGGUCAGCGACUUAUAUUCUGUAGCAAGGUUAACCGAAUAGGGGAGCCGAAGGGAAACCGAGUCUUAACUGGGCGUUAAGUUGCAGGGUAUAGACCCGAAACCCGGUGAUCUAGCCAUGGGCAGGUUGAAGGUUGGGUAACACUAACUGGAGGACCGAACCGACUAAUGUUGAAAAAUUAGCGGAUGACUUGUGGCUGGGGGUGAAAGGCCAAUCAAACCGGGAGAUAGCUGGUUCUCCCCGAAAGCUAUUUAGGUAGCGCCUCGUGAAUUCAUCUCCGGGGGUAGAGCACUGUUUCGGCAAGGGGGUCAUCCCGACUUACCAACCCGAUGCAAACUGCGAAUACCGGAGAAUGUUAUCACGGGAGACACACGGCGGGUGCUAACGUCCGUCGUGAAGAGGGAAACAACCCAGACCGCCAGCUAAGGUCCCAAAGUCAUGGUUAAGUGGGAAACGAUGUGGGAAGGCCCAGACAGCCAGGAUGUUGGCUUAGAAGCAGCCAUCAUUUAAAGAAAGCGUAAUAGCUCACUGGUCGAGUCGGCCUGCGCGGAAGAUGUAACGGGGCUAAACCAUGCACCGAAGCUGCGGCAGCGACACUGUGUGUUGUUGGGUAGGGGAGCGUUCUGUAAGCCUGUGAAGGUGUACUGUGAGGUAUGCUGGAGGUAUCAGAAGUGCGAAUGCUGACAUAAGUAACGAUAAAGCGGGUGAAAAGCCCGCUCGCCGGAAGACCAAGGGUUCCUGUCCAACGUUAAUCGGGGCAGGGUGAGUCGACCCCUAAGGCGAGGCCGAAAGGCGUAGUCGAUGGGAAACAGGUUAAUAUUCCUGUACUUGGUGUUACUGCGAAGGGGGGACGGAGAAGGCUAUGUUGGCCGGGCGACGGUUGUCCCGGUUUAAGCGUGUAGGCUGGUUUUCCGUGCAAAUCCGGAAAAUCAAGGCUGAGGCGUGAUGACGAGGCACUACGGUGCUGAAGCAACAAAUGCCCUGCUUCCAAGAAAAGCCUCUAAGCAUCAGGUAACAUCAAAUCGUACCCCAAACCGACACAGGUGGUCAGGUAGAGAAUACCAAGGCGCUUGAGAGAACUCGGGUGAAGGAACUAGGCAAAAUGGUGCCGUAACUUCGGGAGAAGGCACGCUGAUAUGUAGGUGAAGUCCCUCGCGGAUGGAGCUGAAAUCAGUCGAAGAUACCAGCUGGCUGCAACUGUUUAUUAAAAACACAGCACUGUGCAAACACGAAAGUGGACGUAUACGGUGUGACGCCUGCCCGGUGCCGGAAGGUUAAUUGAUGGGGUCAGCGCAAGCGAAGCUCUUGAUCGAAGCCCCGGUAAACGGCGGCCGUAACUAUAACGGUCCUAAGGUAGCGAAAUUCCUUGUCGGGUAAGUUCCGACCUGCACGAAUGGCGUAAUGAUGGCCGGCUGUCUCCACCCGAGACUCAGUGAAAUUGAACUCGCUGUGAAGAUGCAGUGUACCCGCGGCAAGACGGAAAGACCCCGUGAACCUUUACUAUAGCUUGACACUGAACAUUGAGCCUUGAUGUGUAGGAUAGGUGGGAGGCUUUGAAGUGUGGACGCCAGUCUGCAUGGAGCCGACCUUGAAAUACCACCCUUUAAUGUUUGAUGUUCUAACGUUGACCCGUGAUCCGGGUUGCGGACAGUGUCUGGUGGGUAGUUUGACUGGGGCGGUCUCCUCCUAAAGAGUAACGGAGGAGCACGAAGGUUGGCUAAUCCUGGUCGGACAUCAGGAGGUUAGUGCAAUGGCAUAAGCCAGCUUGACUGCGAGCGUGACGGCGCGAGCAGGUGCGAAAGCAGGUCAUAGUGAUCCGGUGGUUCUGAAUGGAAGGGCCAUCGCUCAACGGAUAAAAGGUACUCCGGGGAUAACAGGCUGAUACCGCCCAAGAGUUCAUAUCGACGGCGGUGUUUGGCACCUCGAUGUCGGCUCAUCACAUCCUGGGGCUGAAGUAGGUCCCAAGGGUAUGGCUGUUCGCCAUUUAAAGUGGUACGCGAGCUGGGUUUAGAACGUCGUGAGACAGUUCGGUCCCUAUCUGCCGUGGGCGCUGGAGAACUGAGGGGGGCUGCUCCUAGUACGAGAGGACCGGAGUGGACGCAUCACUGGUGUUCGGGUUGUCAUGCCAAUGGCACUGCCCGGUAGCUAAAUGCGGAAGAGAUAAGUGCUGAAAGCAUCUAAGCACGAAACUUGCCCCGAGAUGAGUUCUCCCUGACUCCUUGAGAGUCCUGAAGGAACGUUGAAGACGACGACGUUGAUAGGCCGGGUGUGUAAGCGCAGCGAUGCGUUGAGCUAACCGGUACUAAUGAACCGUGAGGCUUAACCUUACAACGCCGAAGGUGUUU
rnacentral:rRNA from 1 species